UUCAGUGUGAUUGGAUCCUUGCUUUAAGGUCCAUUCAAUAAGUAAUACAUGGUUUAAUUAUACUUGUUAUAAUAGUACUAUCUAUUCAAGAACAACAAGAAUUACAAAUCUUGGCUUAUAGCAUUAAUGAUGUUUCUAUGUGCAUUAGGUAUGUUUAAUCAAUCACUGUCAGUUUUUGGGAUGAAGUAGGGGAUAUUUAGUAUAUUUGUCUAGAAACAUCUCUAAGUUAUCACUUUUCAUAUAUUUGAUUAUGAUUUUAGUGGAUAUAUACCCAAUAUACGAAGGUGUCAGGUAUCCUAUCACAUUGUUUUGAUCUGCAUCAUUCAUUUAUUUGACUGAGAAAGAGAGAAAAGGGAGAAACAAAGUCCAGUUGUUUUUAGUUCUAUUCAUCUGCAAAAGAUGUAUUUGUUUCUCUUUUUCAGUGCUUCACUUGAAAAAGCAAAAUUCAAUUAUCAACUGUUGCUCCCACUAAGAAAAUUAGUACGUACACAUCGUGAGCAUGUCAUUAGAAAGAUUCUUGAUUCACCGCACACUUGGCAUUGACAAUGUUAUCCGAUAAAUGAGCACAAUGGUAGGUCGAAGUAGCUUGGUUGUAAAGACUUAAACAGGUCUCGAUCCGCUGGUUGUUUGGAAUUGAAGAACGGAUAAGUAACUUUGCUUUACAUUGCUUCAAGAAGUUUUUCACCUUUUUUCUUAGCGGGGGUUGGGGUAUUGAACUACCUUUAGGCUUAAAGAGGAUGAUGUUGAACUGAGAAAUGGUCUAAGAGAGCUUCCUUCAGCCCACUCAUGGAUGAGAUUUUGGGACUGAACUAGCUGCCGACUCAUUCAUUCAACCACUCAGUAGAAUACAACAAGUCUUAUGCUACUGUGAUUGAGUGAAUGAUGCGGGAGAUAGUUUCACGUCCCGCUCCCUCCGUACUUGGACUGAAGGGAGCUCCUCUUGUCAUUGCCUUCAUUUCUUUUUCCCCAACAGCUUUCGAUCUUGUUUCUCUCCGCUCCAACAAAGGCAUCCUUAAACUUUUGGAGACUUAGGGAACAUAGAAACAUAGUCGUGAUAAAACUUUGAACUAGUGUAGUUGUUCCUAUUGUCCAGGAAAUUUUGGCUGCCUCAAUGUUCCCAUCAUUUUCUUCUGUCCUUAGGACUGCAAGAACUAUCUUUGAAUAACCAAUCUGUUUAUUGCUUCUGUUCAUUAAGGAUGAAAAAGAUAUCUUCGACUAAUGAUUUUCCUGGCUGUAGUCUGACCACGUUGGUUUUACUCGAUCAUCGAUAACAAGGUCUUAAUUCAAUGUUCUGUCGAUUUUGCUCAAGAAGUUUCUCAUCUACAAGAUUUUACUCUCAGGUUCGAUUAUAGAACAUUAAUCGUAAGCUUAUACUGUUACUUUACCCAUUGGUUAUACUGUGUCGGUUUGAUUCGCAUAAAUAGCGUACUCUUAUCUGAAAUCUGCUAUGUAAAAGUACAGGCAUACACAUAUGUAUCUGCUCUGAAGAUCUUAUGUUGUUCCACUUGAUUUUCUUUAUGUCUCAUCUAGUACAGUCUAACCACUUGUUUAUGUCUCAUACAUGAGAGGUCGUACCUCAGAGUGAUUCUUGAAUUGUUCUUUAAUUACUUUGGCACAUUAUUGAGCAGUUCUGCGAUGUAUUAUAUUAUUUUCCGUGGUCCAUUCGAGACAGGUCACGUUUUAGGCGAGUCGGGCUACAGAUAUUGCCGAAAAUGGAUGAGGGGUUGUAAUCUUGUUUGAUCCUGUUUUGGAAAUUAUGGUAUAAUUUAUCAUGACUACCUUUUUUCUGGGUGGAAAUGCUCGAGACGGGCCUCGAUAAAGAUAGUCUAAGAGCCGGGUUGGGUUACCCUCAUUGGGCGUGAUUAGAGUUGCUUAAUAGGACGUUGUGGAAUGUUAAGAUUGAGUACAAUUAUUCUCAUCAGAGCGAGCCCUCAUCACAGGUCGAUUGAAAUUCUCCACCGCAUAGUUGAAGUGAUCGGGGAACGGUCAGGUCAGGUCAAGAUAUCAAUAAAGAUUGAAAUCCAUCCACCACAUAGUUGAAGGGGCCGGGACUUGUCAUUCGGCAGGAUCAGUGUCUCCCAACAGGACGUUGUGAAAUGUUCAGUUUGAGUCAUGGUUACUGUCUGAAACACGAAUCACUCUUCAAAAAGCACUAUAAAAUUACUAGAAAAGCACAUAUGAGGUUUGAAAUUACUUAAACAACCAAACCGACACCGCACAACUUCACGAAAGGGAGGGGUAUUCUUGUCCAAUUAGUGCCAAAAUAGAAAAUAUCAAAUAUCUAGGGGUCUCCCCCAAGUCAGCCUUAGGGUUUGUGAACAAGACACAAACUUUGUGGUGGUCCCCCCUCCCCCUAUCUAAUCUAAUCCCAUAUAUAGUGAUGUCUGAAGAAAUUCUAUUACAGAGGUUUCCAUGAAUGAAACUCCAAGUUUAGAGCUGUAGAUGUCGGCUCUGCAUGUGCUGCUGUUUCAUGUUUGCCCUUUGCCCAUCCACUUCAAUUCUUGGUUUUAUUGAUGGCCUACACUCUUUUGUCACUGAAAUUUGGACCAAGUCAAGAAAAAAAUAUAAAU